rnacentral:rRNA from 1 species
GACAGAGGUCUCAAGCGUUGUUCGGAUUCAUUGGGCGUAAAGGGCUCGUAGGUGGCCAACUAAGUCAGACGUGAAAUCCCUCGGCUUAACCGGGGAACUGCAUCCGAUACUGGAUGGCUUGAGAUUGGGAGAGGGAUGCGGAAUUCCAGGUGUAGCGGUGAAAUGCGUAGAUAUCUGGAGGAACACCGGUGGCGAAGGCGGGUCUCUGGGCCGUAACUGACGCUGAGGAGCGAAAGCGUGGGGAGCGAACAGG